rnacentral:rRNA from 1 species
UACGCAGGUGGCGAGCGUUAUCCGGAAUUAUUGGGCGUAAAGAGCGCGCAGGUGGUUGAUUAAGUCUGAUGUGAAAGCCAACGGCUUAACCGUGGAGGGUCAUUGGAAACUGGUCGACUUGAGUGCAGAAGAGGGAAGUGGAAUUCCAUGUGUAGCGGUGAAAUGCGUAGAGAUAUGGAGGAACACCAGUGGCGAAGGCGGCUUCCUGGUCUGUAACUGACACUGAGGCGCGAAAGCGUGGGGAGCAAACAGGAUUAGAUA